rnacentral:rRNA from 1 species
AACGCGAAGAACCUUACCAAAUCUUGACAUCCUUUGAAAACUCUAGAGAUAGAGCCUUCCCCUUCGGGGGACAAAGUGACAGGUGGUGCAUGGUUGUCGUCAGCUCGUGUCGUGAGAUGUUGGGUUAAGUCCCGCAACGAGCGCAACCCUUAAGCUUAGUUGCCAUCAUUAAGUUGGGCACUCUAGGUUGACUGCCGGUGACAAACCGGAGGAAGGUGGGGAUGACGUCAAAUCAUCAUGCCCCUUAUGAUUUGGGCUACACACGUGCUACAAUGGACAAUACAAAGGGCAGCUAAACCGCGAGGUCAUGCAAAUCCCAUAAAGUUGUUCUCAGUUCGGAUUGUAGUCUGCAACUCGACUACAUGAAGCUGGAAUCGCUAGUAAUCGUAGAUCAGACACGUAAUGGGCCC